CAGCCGCCACGGGAAUACGGAGGGGGCUAGCGUUGUUCGGAAUUACUGGGCGUAAAGCGCACGUAGGCGGCUUUGUAAGUUAGAGGUGAAAGCCCGGAGCUCAACUCCGGAAUUGCCUUUAAGACUGCAGAGCUAGCAGGUGAGAGAGGUGAGUGGAAUUCCGAGUGUAGAGGUGAAAUUCGUAGAUAUUCGGAAGAACACCAGUGGCGAAGGCGGCUCACUGGCUCAUACUGGACGCUGAGGUGCGAAAGCGUGGGGAGCAAACAGGAUUAGAUACCCCCGUAGUCCCUGUCUCUUAUAC
rnacentral:rRNA from 1 species